rnacentral:rRNA from 1 species
GGGAGGUAGUGACAAUAAAUAACAAUACGGGGCUCUUUCGGGUCUCGUAAUUGGAAUGAGUACAAUUUAAAUCUCUUAACGAGGAACAAUUGGAGGGCAAGUCUGGUGCCAGCAGCCGCGGUAAUUCCAGCUCCAAUAGCGUAUAUUAAAGUUGUUGCAGUUAAAAAGCUCGUAGUUGAAUUUCGGGGUCAGCAGGUUGGUCGUGCCACUGGUAUGCACUGGCUUCGCUGAUUCCUCCUUUCUGAAGAACUGUAAUGCCAUUAAUUUGGUGUUGCAGGGAAACAGGACUGUUACUUUGAAAAAUUAGAGUGUUUAAAGCAGGCUAACGCUUGAAUACAUUAGCAUGGAAUAAUGAAAUAGGACGUUUGAUCCUAUUUUGUUGGUUUCUAGGAUUGACGUAAUGAUUAAUAGGGAUAGUUGGG